CCCCCUCCGUUGCGCCCCUUGCGCUCUCGGCCCAGACCGUCGCAGCUACAGGGGGCCUCGAGCCCCGGGGUGAGUGCCCCCGUUCCGCUCCUGCUCCUUCCCAUAGGGACGCGCCUGAUGCCUGGGACCGGCCGCUGAGCCGGAGGGGACCGAGAAGGCCAUGGUGGGAGCGCUUGCCCGCUGCGGUGCCCGCUGAAACCAUGCCGGGGCCCCGGCGCCCCGCCGGCUCCCGCCUGCGCCUGCUCCUGCUCCUGCUGCUGCCGCCGCUGCUGCUGCUGCUCCGGGGCAGCCACGCGGGCAACCUGACGGUAGCCGUGGUACUGCCGCUGGCCAAUACCUCGUACCCAUGGUCUUGGGCGCGCGUGGGACCCGCCGUGGAGCUGGCCCUGGCCCGGGUGAAGGCGCGCCCCGACUUGCUGCCGGGCUGGACGGUCCGCACAGUGCUGGGCAGCAGCGAGAACGCGCUGGGCGUCUGCUCUGACACCGCAGCGCCCCUGGCCGCGGUGGACCUCAAGUGGGAGCACAACCCCGCGGCGUUCCUGGGCCCCGGCUGCGUGUACGCCGCCGCCCCGGUGGGGCGCUUCACCGCGCACUGGCGGGUCCCGCUGCUGACCGCCGGCGCCCCGGCGCUGGGCUUCGGUGUCAAGGACGAGUUUGCGCUGACCACCCGCGCGGGGCCCAGCUACGCCAAGCUGGGGGACUUCGUGGCGGCGCUGCACCGACGGCUGGGCUGGGAGCGCCAAGCGCUCAUGCUCUACGCUUACCGGCCGGGUGACGAAGAACACUGCUUCUUCCUUGUGGAGGGGUUGUUCAUGCGGGUCCGCGACCGCCUCAAUAUUACGGUGGACCACCUGGAGUUCGCCGAGGACGACCUCAGCCACUACACCAGGCUGCUGCGGACCAUGCCGCGCAAAGGCCGAGUUAUCUACAUCUGCAGCUCCCCUGACGCCUUCAGAACCCUGAUGCUCCUGGCCUUGGAAGCUGGCUUGUGUGGGGAGGACUACGUUUUCUUCCACCUGGAUAUCUUUGGACAAAGCCUGCAAGGUGGACAGGGCCCUGCUCCCCGCAGGCCCUGGGAGAGAGGGGAUGGACAGGAUGUCAGUGCCCGCCAGGCCUUUCAAGCUGCCAAAAUCAUUACAUAUAAAGAGCCAGAUAAUCCCGAGUACUUGGAAUUCCUGAAGCAGCUAAAACACCUGGCUCGUGAGCAGUUCAACUUCACCAUGGAGGAUGGCCUGGUGAACACCAUCCCAGCAUCCUUCCACGAUGGGCUCCUGCUCUAUAUCCAGGCAGUGACGGAGACUCUGGCACAUGGGGGAACUGUUACUGAUGGGGAGAACAUCACUCAGCGGAUGUGGAACCGAAGCUUUCAAGGUGUGACAGGAUACCUGAAAAUUGAUAGCAGUGGCGAUCGGGAAACAGACUUCUCCCUCUGGGAUAUGGAUCCCGAGACUGGUGCCUUCAGGGUUGUACUGAACUACAAUGGGACUUCCCAAGAGCUGGUGGCUGUGUCGGGGCGCAAACUGAACUGGCCCCUGGGGUACCCUCCUCCUGACAUCCCCAAAUGUGGCUUUGACAACGAAGACCCAGCAUGCAACCAAGAUCACCUUUCUACCCUGGAGGUGCUGGCUUUGGUGGGCAGCCUCUCCCUGCUCAGCAUUCUGAUUGUCUCCUUCUUCAUAUACAGGAAGAUGCAGCUGGAGAAGGAACUGGCCUCGGAGCUGUGGCGGGUGCGCUGGGAGGACGUUGAGCCCAGUAGCCUUGAGAGGCACCUGCGGAGUGCGGGCAGCCGGCUGACCCUGAGCGGGAGAGGCUCCAAUUACGGUUCCCUGCUAACCACAGAGGGCCAGUUCCAAGUCUUUGCCAAGACAGCAUAUUAUAAGGGCAACCUCGUGGCUGUGAAACGUGUGAACCGUAAACGCAUUGAGCUGACACGAAAAGUCCUGUUUGAACUGAAGCAUAUGCGGGAUGUGCAGAAUGAACACCUGACCAGGUUUGUGGGAGCCUGCACCGACCCCCCCAAUAUCUGCAUCCUCACAGAGUACUGUCCCCGUGGGAGCCUGCAGGACAUUCUGGAGAAUGAGAGCAUCACCCUGGACUGGAUGUUCCGGUACUCGCUCACCAAUGACAUUGUCAAGGGCAUGCUGUUUCUACACAAUGGGGCUAUCUGCUCCCAUGGGAACCUCAAGUCAUCCAACUGCGUGGUAGAUGGGCGCUUUGUGCUCAAGAUCACCGACUAUGGGCUGGAGAGCUUCAGAGACCUGGACCCAGAGCAAGGACACACCCUUUAUGCCAAAAAGCUGUGGACGGCCCCUGAGCUCCUGCGAAUGGCUUCGCCCCCUGUGAGGGGCUCCCAGGCUGGUGACAUAUACAGCUUUGGGAUCAUCCUUCAGGAGAUUGCCCUGAGGAGUGGGGUCUUCCAUGUGGAAGGUUUGGACCUCAGCCCCAAAGAGAUCAUCGAGCGGGUGACUCGGGGUGAGCAGCCCCCCUUCCGGCCCUCCCUGGCCCUGCAGAGUCACCUGGAGGAGUUGGGACUGCUGAUGCAGCGGUGCUGGGCUGAGGACCCACAGGAGAGGCCACCAUUCCAGCAGAUCCGCCUGACGUUGCGCAAGUUUAACAGGGAGCACAGCAGCAACAUCCUGGACAACUUGCUGUCCCGCAUGGAGCAGUAUGCAAACAAUCUGGAGGAACUGGUGGAGGAGCGGACCCAGGCGUACCUGGAGGAGAAGCGCAAGGCUGAGGCCCUGCUCUACCAGAUCCUGCCUCACUCAGUGGCUGAGCAGCUGAAGCGUGGGGAGACAGUGCAGGCCGAAGCCUUUGACAGCGUUACCAUCUACUUCAGUGACAUUGUGGGUUUCACAGCGCUGUCAGCGGAGAGCACGCCCAUGCAGGUGGUGACCCUGCUCAAUGACCUGUACACUUGCUUUGAUGCUGUCAUAGAUAACUUUGAUGUAUACAAGGUGGAGACAAUUGGUGAUGCCUACAUGGUGGUGUCGGGGCUCCCUGUGCGGAACGGGCGGCUGCACGCCUGCGAGGUAGCCCGCAUGGCCCUGGCUCUGUUGGAUGCUGUGCGCUCCUUCCGAAUACGCCACCGGCCCCAGGAGCAGCUGCGCUUGCGCAUUGGCAUCCACACAGCUGGGACCUCAGAUCCUGCCUCCUGCCUCUCCUGGAUUGUCUACCUACCUCCCUUAACACCCCUCCCUCCCUCACUUGCUGGUGGGCUCUGCUCCUUCCCUUGCUCCUCCCAGGACCCGUGUGUGCUGGAGUGGUGGGACUGAAGAUGCCCCGUUACUGUCUCUUUGGAGAUACAGUCAACACAGCCUCAAGAAUGGAGUCUAAUGGGGAAGCCCUGAAGAUCCACUUGUCUUCUGAGACCAAGGCUGUCCUGGAGGAGUUUGGUGGUUUCGAGCUGGAGCUUCGAGGGGAUGUAGAAAUGAAGGGCAAAGGCAAGGUUCGGACCUACUGGCUCCUGGGGGAGCGGGGGAGUAGCACCCGAGGCUGACCUGCCUCCUCUCCUAUCCCUCCACACCUCCCUACCCUGUGCCAGAAGCGACAGAGGUGCCAGGUCUCAGCCUCGCCCACAGCAGCCCCAUCACCAAAGGAUGGAAGUAGUUUGAAUAGCUCAGGUGUGCUGACCCCAGUGAAGACACCAGACAGGACCUCUGAGAGGGGACUGGCAUGGGGGGAUCUCAGAGCUUACAGGCUGAGCCAAGCCCACGGCCAUGCACAGGAACACACACACAGGCAUAUGCACCUGCUCUCCACCUGGACUCAGGCCGGGCUGGGCUGUGGAUUCCUGAUCCCCUCCCUUCCCCAUGCUCUCCUCCCUCAGCCUUGCUACCCUGUGACUUAUUGGGAGGAGAAAUAGUCACCUGAAGGGGAACAUGAAAAGAGACUAGGUGAAGUGAGGGCAGGGGAGCCCACAUCUGGGCCUGGCCCACAAUACCUGAUUCCCCGACCCACUCCACGCAGCAGUAGACACAGUGCACAGGGGAGAAGAGGGGUGGCGCAGAAGGGUUGGGGGCCUGUAUGCCUUGCUUCUACUGUGAGCAGAGACAAUUAAAAUCUUUAUUCCGGUGA